rnacentral:rRNA from 1 species
GAAUAUUGGACAAUGGGCGAAAGCCUGAUCCAGCCAUGCCGCGUGAGUGACGAAGGCCUUAGGGUUGUAAAGCUCUUUCAGGUGCGAAGAUAAUGACGGUAACACCAGAAGAAGCCCCGGCUAAAUUCGUGCCAGCAGCCGCGGUAAUACGAAUGGGGCGAGCGUUGUUCGGAAUCACUGGGCGUAAAGAGUACGUAGGCGGACUAGCAAGUCAGAAGUGAAAUCCCGGGGCUUAACCUCGGAAUGGCUUUUGAAACUGCUAGUCUAGAGUCCCGGAGAGGUCAGCGGAAUUCCGAGUGUAGAGGUGAAAUUCGCAGAUAUUCGGAGGAACACCAGUGGCGUAGGCGGCUGGCUGGACGGGAACUGACGCUGAGGUACGAAAGCGUGGGGAUCAAACAGG